rnacentral:tRNA from 1 species
GCGGAAGUAGUUCAGUGGUAGAACAUCACCUUGCCAAGGUGGGGGUCGCGGGUUCGAACCCCGUCUUCCNNU